CCGUAACACGCGUCUGCACGCGUCGUAACGAACGAGGUCGCAAUCCAAAUAUCGUAAGCCGCAAGAUAAAUUAUUAGCAAAUGCAAUAAAAUUCAUUAUACACAUGAGAAAAUAAAAGAAGGACGUGUUAUCGAAACAUCCUCUACCAUCAUAAAGCCUACGAUCAUCCUUCAUGGAAGCGCGAUGUCAGAGUGCAUUCGACCGCGAAGAAUGUUGGACCCGAGCAUAAUGUGUAUAAGCGUGAAAAAUUUAGUGGGCUAGGGGUGAGAAACACGCGAGCGUUUGGAAAUUUUGUGAGCGGCAUUCCUUGCCGAAAUAUGCCAGAUAAUAUAAUAAUUUCGCGGUUCUCGCACAUUCACGCUGUCAGUCAUAUAUCACGAAAACAUGAUGGAAGCGUCUCAAAGGAUUCAGAGAGAAAUUUGAAAGCAACUUGCGAUAAAAAAACAUGGACAAAUGACAUCGAGCUGAAUAGAAAUCAAUAAGCACCCCAUAAAAGAUGUCAGGCGGUUUCAGACUUAUCUCUCAGAAUUAACGAUUCUAUAAAAUUUUUAUCGGAUUCUGUCAACGACGCUAUGCAUUAUAAAGGCCAAGCUUUCUUUCAUGUAUUUCACGCCUUUUAAAUCAACGAAAUAGGAAAGAGGCUUUAUUAUGAAGCGAGCGACUCUCGAGAAAAGUGGGGUGCGGCCUUUUCACGCUAUGUACGCAGAAAGCUAAGGUGAAAAGAAUAAACGAAGACCAUGUCGUCAGCUUUGUUGGUGGUCCAAUCUUAACACUUCACUGUCAACUGUUAAGUGAGUUUUUACUUAGACGCAAGCUAUUUUUACUCUUAAUAUAAUACUCCAGAUUUCUCGAAAUAAGCCGCCACAAAAACAAUUCGUUACACAAGAACGUGUUUAUUCAAGCCAUUUACGUACACAAUUCUGUUUAUUUCUGAAAUAUAUAUAUUUACUAAA